ACCACAAACACCAUCUGAAAUGAAUUGAAGAGUUUCUCCUUCCCGUUUUUACCACCAGAAACAUUAUCCAGAACAAAAAAUUUCUCCAAACACCAUUUCUUCUAGUGUACUAAGAUCUAAGCUUGUUCGGUCAAAUUUUAGCUCAAUUCCAAAGAUCGUCUACUACGUCCGUUUAUUCAUAGGUUUAAGGUAUGGUAGCAAAAUAUUUCAAAUGCAAAAGUCUCAAUAUUAGCAGGCACAAAUUUGUACUUAUGUACCAAAAUAAGGAGCAUUUUAUUAACAAGAAGACAUAAAUUUUAUAUUAACAUGAAGAGUAUUUUGUGGGCACAAUUUGUAUUUCAUAUUGAUAUCGAUGAAUAAAUUCCAAAGGCUCAGUUUUAAAGUUUUGGAACCAUAAGAUGAAUUUAGAAAGAUAUAAACGAUGAUAAUAAAAAUAAAAAUAAAAACUAGAAGAAGACAAAUAUAUACAAAAUGUAUAUGGAGUAU